rnacentral:lncRNA from 1 species
UCGGUGGCGCGCGGGUGAGUGUGAGGCGGGUUUAAGCCGCCUGGCGCGUAGUCGAUGCGAGCGAGGGAGACGCCGAGCGUGUUGAGUCCUGGGAUGGUCAUCACGUUGGCGCCUGUGACUAAAGCUCCGAAUGUGUUGUUGGUGAGACCUGGGUUUGCUAUUCCUUGUGAGAAGAAAUCGAGUGAGGAGACGUUGGCUGCGUCUUUGCAAGGGAAGCCGUUGACUUUGAUUCCUGAAAGUUCGUUAAAAAAAGAUUAUUAUUCAAGAAAAUAAAAAGAUAAGAUGAAUGGAGAUAAAUAAAGUUUUUAUUACCAGAGGAGAGAUCAGCAACGCAGAGGUCUUGGAGCAUGUCGGGAUCUGCGGAGACUGUAAUGAAGAGGAAGGCGACGAGGCAGAGGAAGAUGGAGAGAAAUGAAGUUGGUGAAGCCAUUGUUGAUGGUUAAUGGUGAGACUGGAACAGUUGAGAAUGAUGGUUUAUAAAGGAGAGAGAAAUUGAAGAAAGGAAUGACUUUUCACGUUGAGACAGAGAGAGAGAGAAGCAAGGAACAUGCCUCUUGCUUUUAUUUCUCUGUAUAAAUGAAAUGUUAAAGGUCAACAACUUAACCUAUGCUAAACGAAUGGAUCAGGGCUGUUCUAUUGAAAAAGAUGGCCUACAAUUGUUUUGGUCUUACACGUUACACGGUUUAUUGACAUUUAAUGAUUUCAUAGAAUAAUAGGAGAAUUUGAUUUUUUUUUUUUCGAAAAAGGACUUUCAAAUUAAACUGCAAGAACAUACACUCAUAAGUUUGAUAAAGUUUGCAAUAAAUAAAAGGGUUUAAAAAGACCUCAGAUAAAGAUUCACAUUUGAAUCCAAGAAAGCAAGACAAAAUAAGACAUUAACUAGUGGUUGUAGUUCCCUCGGUCUCGACGACCUUGUUUACCUCUUCCACUAAUUCUUGUCCAUCCCAUAUCUUGAACCUUUUGUGUUGGUUUUAUUGUCCUUCCUCCUUGAGUUAUAUCAUAACUAGAGGAGUCUCCAACCACAUCAAAACCAAUACCUUUCCCAUAUGCAAGCGGAGUUUCCGGCUCCAUAUGGAAUCGUUGAUGAUCUAGAGGAGAAUGAGGAUCAAUUGCUUGCUCAGUUUCAGAAGCUUGAGAGCCUUCCAAAAUGAUAGAAUGUGAUGGAAUAUCUUCCAUAAUACGUGACUGAGUUGGCGCAGCUUCAUCGGCUGCUAAUAGAGGUAAAGUGUUAUCAAUCUGAGAGCAAGGGGUAGUGUGUACCUCAUGCGAAUGUGUGAUCGGACUAGCAAAUGCACCCUCGGACAGAAGGGUGGCCAAUGACUUUUUUUGAAAUCUCAUGUGUUUGAUGGGUAGUAGGUGAGCUUGAGCUUUGCAGCAGCUUGACAAUGUCCACCAUUGGAACCUCUUCAUUUGUAACUUGAGUCUCCUUUGUAAUAGGACCAGAAUCAUGUGGCUGAGGUGGUAAUAAGCACUUUUCUCUUUAUGACCAAGUGCACCACACCUUUCACAUGCACUAGGAACACUUUUAUUACACAAGAUAAAUAAAAAUGAGUAAAAAUCAUUCUUUUAGAAAACAGAACCUGACAAAACCAGACAAACCCGGUAAUGAAAAUUUGGAAAUGAUCAUUUCUUGGGCUGGAACCUGCUUUUAAUGUUUCUAACAAUUCUCGGAGUUGUCUGAAACGCUUGAGACAAGAUCUCAUCAGGAACAGGAGGCGUAGAACCGAACAGAGUAGCACCGAGAGAUUGAGUUCCAGGAAGCUGACUAUUAAAAGCAGCGAUAACAGCCGCAGGGACACGACCGUUGUUCUUCUGGAAAUGAACAAGUCCUCUGGGGAAAGCGAAGACGUCACCUUUCUUGAGAGACUGAGAGAUGAGCCUGUUGGCGGUCGUGAGGAACCCGACGUCGAGUGUUCCUUCGAGGACGUAGACGAUUUCGGUGGCGCGCGGGUGAGUGUGAGGCGGGUUUAAGCCGCCUGGCGCGUAGUCGAUGCGAGCGAGGGAGACGCCGAGCGUGUUGAGUCCUGGGAUGGUCAUCACGUUGGCUCCUGUGACUAAGGCGCCGAAUGUGUUGUUGGUU